CUCUUAGAGGCCUGCAGGUGGAGAUGUAGAGCUCUCAGCUCCUCCUGCACCAUUCCUGUCUGGAUGAUGUCUUGAUCCUGCCUUAAUGAUUAUGGACUGAACCUCUGAACCUUUUUUUAAACAGCUAAAGAUGGACCAAGAUUUAUCACCAGUGGAAAGCAAAGUCAUGUCUCUCAUCAAAAUAAUGGAAACAUACAGUGUGCGUGCAUUAGGUGAAGGUGGUAUAGUGUCCAUGGUGGAAUUCAAAGAGUUGAGGGAAACUCAAUUAACAAAUUUUGUCAAGGAAGACAUUGAGCAUUCUGACCUACCCAAUCAAUCAAAUAAGCUCAGCUUUGCGGAUGCAUGGGACGAGAUAGGAAAAAUGGGAAUCAAGUACUAUGAGAAGAGCAGCAGCAAUACAGUUCAACACUAGCAUCUUCACAGCCAUGGGCCCGACUUUAAAGAGGGUGAGCCAGAGCAACGAAGAAGGAGUUCACAUACCUUGUGUCUGCCCGACCUACCUCUUCUACAAAAUUAAUAUCACAAGCAUUGAAAUUAUGAUUGUGGGCCUUGGAAUGAGUGAAAUAAAAAUAGUUUCCAACCAGU